ACCAAUAACUAGUAAUUGAUUCGGAUUCAUAUGGUUUAGAUCAAAUACAGUCGUUGAAGAAAAUAACGCUUAGCCAUAUAAUUUGCGUUACGUCGGAUUUAGAACGUAUUCAGACAGAUACAUUCAGGUUCAUUGAUCAUAUACGAAUUAUGAKACUUAAGCCCAACUGUGAAACGUACACAAUCAACUUAAAUGCAUGGUGAAUGAUUCCAAAAUAAAUUUUCCUUGUACCCAGAUUUAGGCGAUUAUAUAAUUUUAAGACCAGAAAAUUGUGGUAAUGUUAUGUAAACAAGGAAAAACAACAAGGUGGAGACCUGUAUAAUAUAUCAAGUAUAAGGUUAAAAAAUAUCUGUUUUUUUUUUUWAAAUUCUUAAUUUAUACUUUUAUACAAAGUAAAACGUAAAUACUAUUGAAUAUUAUGACAUUGUAUUAAAACUAUAUAUUUAUU